rnacentral:rRNA from 1 species
GAGUAAUGCGUGACCAACCUGCCCCAUGCUCCAGAAUAGCUCUUGGAAACGGGUGGUAAUGCUGGAUGCUCCAACUUGACGCAUGUCUUGUUGGGAAAGUGUUUAGUGGCAUGAGAUGGGGUCGCGUCCUAUCAGCUUGUAGGCGGGGUAAUGGCCCACCUAGGCUUCGACGGGUAGCCGGCCUGAGAGGGCGGACGGCCACAUUGGGACUGAGAUACGGCCCAGACUCCUACGGGAGGCAGCAGAA